rnacentral:rRNA from 1 species
UACUAGAGUAGCACUCGCAUAUCAAUAAGCGGAGGAAAAGUAACUAACAAGGAUUCCCCUAGUAACGGCGAGUGAAGCGGGAAGAGUUCAAAUUUGAAAUCUUAAAGGGUUUCCCUUUACGAAUUGUAGUUUAAAGAAGUGUUUUCUGCUGAGGUUUUGGUAAAAGUUCUUUGGAAUAGGACAUCAUAGAGGGUGAGAAUCCCGUAUUUGACCUUUACUUUCAACUUUGUGAUACACUUUCAAAGAGUCGGAUUGUUUGGGAAUGCAGUCCAAAAUGGGUGGUAAAUUUCAUCUAAAGCUAAAUAUUGGCGAGAGACCGAUAGCGAACAAGUACCGUGAGGGAAAGAUGAAAAGAACUUUGAAAAGAGAGUUAAACAGUACGUGAAAUUGUCAAAAGGGAAGCGUUUGACACCAGUGUUGUUUUUCUGAAAAUCAAUUAAAGAACUGUUUAUGCUAAGUUGUUUAGACUUUAUCAGCUAACUGUUUAGUUUUGAGCUUUUCCUUAAUGCACUUUUCAGUUAACAAGUCGACAUCAAUUUCUUUUGCUGUAAAAAAGCUUGAGGAAGGUGGCUUGAGAUUCGUCUUAAGUGUUUAUAGCCUCUUGCCUAUGCAGUCGGAGAGAUUGAGGUCUGCAGCGUAGAUCCUUCGGGGCUAAAUGCAUUUGUGCUAAGUCAUAACAUUUUAUAGACAACUUGUUGACUAUGAUUUGUCUUGUAGCUUACUCGCUUAUGUUAUUUUACCUACGCUUAGGAUGUUGAUAUCGCGCUCUCACUG